AGGAUUUUUAUUUUUUAUUUUUCUUCCCUAGGCUGAGUUAUCUAUCAAGUUCUGGUUAAAUUUCAGUUGUCAUAAUGAAUUUGUGAUAUUUAGUUCCAUCUUGAAUGCUUCGUGUGUCCUGAUUGUAGUUGUCGACUACACUAACACCUGAGUGAUCACUGUUGAAUGUAACAUUGCGUUAGAAGAAUACUUUGAUAUUGUUGCCGUAAACAACUGUUNCUACACUAACACCUGAGUGAUCACUGUUGAAUGUAACAUUGCGUUAGAAGAAUACUUUGAUAUUGUUGCCGUAAACAACUGUUUGAUGGUAAUUGGUUGCCCCAUUUGGUAAUUAGUGCUCCAUCAACAAAGAUAUUUGUAUUAGUAGUAAAAAAUCUAGAAUUUUCUGAUGGGGGCUUCAUUCAUUUCUGCUUGUAACGACAGAUGAAUUGCUCACAUCCAGUGAGAUGCAGACUUUUUAAGCCAGUAAAAGAUGAGUUGCAGAUCUAAGGGACAUGUUAUGUGCUGCACAAAAUAAAGCUAGACGAUAC
rnacentral:lncRNA from 1 species